rnacentral:rRNA from 1 species
GAUGAACGCUGGCGGCGUGCCUAAUACAUGCAAGUCGAGCGAACAGACGAGGAGCUUGCUCCUCUGACGUUAGCGGCGGACGGGUGAGUAACACGUGGAUAACCUACCUAUAAGGCUGGGAUAACUUCGGGAAACCGGAGCUAAUACCGGAUAAUAUAUUGAACCGCAUGGUUCAAUAGUGAAAGACGGUUUUGCUGUCACUUAUAGAUGGAUCCGCGCCGCAUUAGCUAGUUGGUAAGGUAACGGCCUACCAAGGCAACGAUGCGUAGCCGACCUGAGAGGGUGAUCGGCCACACUGGAACUGAGACACGGUCCAGACUCCUACGGGAGGCAGCAGUAGGGAAUCUUCCGCAAUGGGCGAAAGCCUGACGGAGCAACGCCGCGUGAGUGAUGAAGGUCUUCGGAUCGUAAAACUCUGUUAUUAGGGAAGAACAAAUGUGUAAGUAACUAUGCACGUCUUGACGGUACCUAAUCAGAAAGCCACGGCUAACUACGUG